GAAAAAGGGAUUUCAUGGAAGUGUGUGAAGCACAGCAGAUUGGUGGUGAAGAAGGCUUCUUCUACUACAAGGAAAAAAAGUGCUUGAAAAAGACAUUUUACCAAGAACCAUAUGAGAAAUGCAUGAUUUAUUCAAUAAAUGAAUGUGAAUAAUUAAAAAUGCAUCAAAAUCCCUCGUCUAAGCUUAAAAAAAAAAAGGACCAAUAUCAAAACCAACACAAAUCCUUUGCUCUUUCUAAUAUUCUCUCUACAUGAAGUGAAAGACAUUUUCCCUCCACUUCUCUUCUCCAAAUGGGGUGGCUCCAAUCCCUCUUCUCCCCAUUAAAGAAGCUCUGGUUUCGCCUCCAUUCUUCGCCUAAAAAACGAAGAGGGAUAUAUAUUCUGUAUGAGGAUGUGAAAUCCUGUCCCUGUGAAGAUGUGCAUGUGCUUUGGUCAAUAUUAGUGGAAUCACACACUCCAUUGCCACCGAAACAAUGAAGCUUUCAAGUUUCAUCAUCCUAAAUACACAACUUCUCCACCAAUGUACAUAAAAUAUUUAUAAUACUUUAUAUAUUUGAAGGGGGAAAAAAGAAUGCCCAGAAAUAAAAGUUUUCCUUCCCCAUUUUCAUCUCUUUUUUUUUUUUCUUUUGUUCAAAAUUUUUGUGUAGCUUCUUUACAGUUGCUUUGUCCAAAUCAGCAGUUGAGGCGGCAGUUGAAUUCUAAAUUCUAUAUUUUCAAGGUUGAUUCUGAUAAUGACAUGAGACAACUAUUGAAUAGAUGGGACAACCUAAAGAUGUUUUUGCCUUAGAUAUACUAUAAUAAUGCCAAUGCCAUGAAUUUUGAUUCA